rnacentral:rRNA from 1 species
GACGAACGCUGGCGGCGUGCUUAACACAUGCAAGUCGAACGAUGAUGCUGGAGCUUGCUCCAGUUGAUUAGUGGCGAACGGGUGAGUAACACGUGAGCAAUCUGCCCUUGACUCUGGGAUAACUGCGGGAAACUGUAGCUAAUACCGGAUACUUUCACCGGAAGGCAUCUUUUGGUGAUGAAAGAAUUUCGGUCAGGGAUGAGCUCGCGGCCUAUCAGCUUGUUGGUGAGGUAACGGCUCACCAAGGCGACGACGGGUAACCGGCCUGAGAGGGUGACCGGUCACACUGGGACUGAGACACGGCCCAGACUCCUACGGGAGGCAGCAGUGGGGAAUAUUGCACAAUGGGCGCAAGCCUGAUGCAGCAACGCCGCGUGAGGGAUGAAGGCCUUCGGGUUGUAAACCUCUUUUAGCAGGGAAGAAGCGAAAGUGACGGUACCUGCAGAAAAAGCACCGGCUAACUACGUGCCAGCCGCCGCGGUAA